rnacentral:rRNA from 1 species
UAGGGAAUCUUCCGCAAUGGGCGAAAGCUUGACGGAGCAACGCCGCGUGAGUGAUGAAGGUCUUCGGAUCGUAAAACUCUGUUAUUAGGGAAGAACAAAUGUGUAAGUAACUAUGCACGUCUUGACGGUACCUAAUCAGAAAGCCACGGCUAACUACGUGCCAGCAGCCGCGGUAAUACGUAGGUGGCAAGCGUUAUCCGGAAUUAUUGGGCGUAAAGCGCGCGUAGGCGGUUUUUUAAGUCUGAUGUGAAAGCCCACGGCUCAACCGUGGAGGGUCAUUGGAAACUGGAGAACUUGAGUGCAGAAGAGGAAAGUGGAAGUCCAUGUGUAGCGGUGAAAUGCGCAGCGAUGUGGAGGAGCACCAGUGGCGAAGGCGACUUUCUGGUCUGUAACUGACGCUGAUGUGCGAAAGCGUGGGGAUCAAACAGG